rnacentral:lncRNA from 1 species
GCGUGAUUCUUGUGGCUUUGAGGGGUGUUUUGGUCCUUUGCCAUUCGGUGGUAGUGGCUGCGCUGGAAUUUCCUUUGUCUGCGUGGCUCUCAUUCCUUUCUUCUCAUCCGCGUGCCUCUCAUGCUUUUCUCCUCAUUCUUGGCCUGUUCUUGGUUUUGGGAGCACCGCUUCAAUUCCUCAUUCUUCUUCUUAGCUUUCUCUGGCCAGUGGCGGUCAGCAAUUUUCUCUCAUUCUCGGUCAGCAACUUUCUGCUCACAAUUUUGGCAGUCAUCGAUUCCUAGCGGUCAGUGGGCGGUGGGGGACGAUUUUGCUAGCCAGAAAUUUCUGCUCACAAUAUUGGCACUCACUGAUUCUUAACGGUCAGUGGGCGGUGGGCGGUCAUUAUUCUUAGCUUUCAUUCUCAGCUUUUAUUCUUCUUAGCAAUUUUUUCUUAGCUUUCAUUCUUCUUCCCUUCUACUGCAUAGCUGCGUGAACACGAAAAGCAUGAGUGAACUAUCGAUCUAGGAGUCCGCGUCUUCUUAGCUUUCAUUCUUCUUCCCUUCCACUGCAUAGCUGCAUGAACAUGAAAAGCGUGAGCGAACUGUCGAUUUAGGAGUCCGCUGUCAAUCUUGUUUUCAAAGAAGGGGAAUUUAGUAAACCCACCGCAGGUUGUCGUUCAAACCUUCCCCCUCUUCAAACUCGGCUGCGGGCGCAGUAGCACCAACUAUGUGUAUUACCAGCUUUUGUUUCGUGCGAUGGGUUGGACUUGGUUUUUGGAGCUUAAUCCCCUCCCAUUCCUCUUCCUCUGCUUUGCUUACAUAAAAUUGUGUCUUUUUUUGCCCUUUUACAAUCAAAUUGUUUAUGUUUUUUUUUUUGUGGAAUUUAUUUCAGUUGGUUUCAGUUAAUCAAUUUGUACCAUUUUUUUUUUGUAAACAGUAUAUUCUCGAAAAGUUGAAACUUGUUGAAGAAAGGCAAAUGGAAGGAAGGGACUCACUUUGUUAUCUCUGAACAGGUUUAUAUCAAUCAGUUUGCAUUACAAUUGUCAAAGGAAUUUAGCUUCUUAGAUUCUAGUUAGGAAGAAAGACUUUGGAUAGUGGACGUCGAUUAUAGUGCUGAACCACUAUAAAUCUUCUUUUUAAUUUUACUGCAUUUUGUUUACAGUUUGUUUCUAUUAACUUAUCUUCUUUUAGCUUUAUAAUUGUUUGGUUGAGUUGGGACAGGUUAAUCCGUCCGAAGAAUUACUAUCAUUUCCCAUAUCAAUCUAUUUCCCAUUAGGUUGGCCUAUGUGGGAGAACAAUACACACACAAAACAAUUUAUUUCUUUUUUUUUUUUGGUGUCACUCAAACUCCUGAGGGACAAAACUAUCCUGUAAUAUGCUAACAAUUUAUAUAUUCUUUUGGGCAAAAAUAUUCCAUACCAAUGAACCACUGAAAUGGUGUCACUCAAGCAAUGAAAGUGCUGUGUUAGUGGUCAAUUUAAUGGAUUUCAUUAUUAAUUUAGCCGGAAAGCACUGCACUGACAGUUCAUUUUAAAAGUUAUUAAAUUUGUGGUAGUUGGUGGAGGCUUUCUUUAGACAUAUGAAUGAAAGUAUUUUUUUUUUUCAAAAUAGGAAGUUGUUGGCUGUUAUUGCCUUAAGUCAAAUUUUAUUAGGAUUGAAAAAUAGAGGUGUGUGUUUGUUUUUGUGUGUGUUUAUUUUAGAAAGAAAGUAAUGCCGUUUUGUCAUUUUAUUUGAAGGGCAAAUUAGGAACCAUAAAAAAUGACUUAAAUAG